UCGUGACUGCGUGCCUUUUGAAGAAUGAGCCUGCGAGUUUGCGGUGUGUUGCGAGGUUAACCCGUGUGGGGAAGCCGUAGCGAAAGCGAGUCCGAAUAGGGCGUUUUAGUAGCGCGCUCAAGACCCGAAGCGGAGUGAUCUAGCCAUGGGCAGGUUGAAGCGGCUGUAAGAGGUCGUGGAGGACCGAACCCACCAGGGUUGAAAACCUGGGGGAUGACCUGUGGUUAGGGGUGAAAGGCCAAUCAAACUCCGUGAUAGCUGGUUCUCCCCGAAAUGCAUUUAGGUGCAGCGUCGUGUGUUUCUUGCCGGAGGUAGAGCACUGGAUAGGCGAUGGGCCCUACCGGGUUACUGACCUUAGCCAAACUCCGAAUGCCGGUAAGUGAGAGCGCGGCAGUGAGACUGUGGGGGAUAAGCUCCAUGGUCGAGAGGGAAACAGCCCAGAGCAUCGACUAAGGCCCCUAAGCGUACGCUAAGUGGGAAAGGAUGUGGAGUCGCACAGACAACCAGGAGGUUGGCUUAGAAGCAGCCACCCUUGAAAGAGUGCGUAAUAGCUCACUGGUCUAGUGAUUCCGCGCCGACAAUGUAGCGGGGCUCAAGCGUACCGCCGAAGUCGUGUCAUUGCAGCAAUACGGCCAACGCCGGCUGUGAUGGGUAGGGGAGCGUCGUGUGCCGGGUGAAGCAGCCGUGGAAGCGAGUUGUGGACGGUUCACGAGUGAGAAUGCAGGCAUGAGUAGCGAUACAAACGUGAGAAACGUUUGCGCCGAUUGACUAAGGGUUCCUGGGUCAAGCUGAUCUGCCCAGGGUAAGUCGGGACCUAAGGCGAGGCCGACAGGCGUAGUCGAUGGAUAACCGGUUGAUAUUCCGGUACCCGCUGUGAAGCGUCAAACAUUGAAUCAGGCGAUGCUAAGUCCGUGAAGCCGCCUCUGAUCUCUUCGGAGUGAUGGGGAGUGGUGGAGCCGAUGACCCGGACCUGUAGUAGGUGAGUGAUGGGGUGACGCAGGAAGGUAGUCCAUCCCGGGCGGUGGUUGUCCCGGGGUAAGGGUGUAGGCCGUGUGAUAGGUAAAUCCGUUGCACAUAGGGCUGAGACCUGAUGCCGAGCCGAUUGUGGUGAAGUGGAUGAUCCUAUGCUGUCGAGAAAAGCCUCUAGCGAGUUUCAUGGCGGCCCGUACCCUAAACCGACUCAGGUGGUCAGGUAGAGAAUACCGAGGCGUUCGGGUGAACUAUGGUUAAGGAACUCGGCAAAAUGCCCCCGUAACUUCGGGAGAAGGGGGGCCACACCUGGUGAUGAGUCUUGCACUCUGAGCUGGGGGUGGCCGCAGAGACCAGCGAGAAGCGACUGUUUACUAAAAACACAGGUCCGUGCGAAGCCGUAAGGCGAUGUAUACGGACUGACGCCUGCCCGGUGCUGGAACGUUAAGGGGACCGGUUAGCUCCAUUUCGGUGGGGCGAAGCUGAGAACUUAAGCGCCAGUAAACGGCGGUGGUAACUAUAACCAUCCUAAGGUAGCGAAAUUCCUUGUCGGGUAAGUUCCGACCUGCACGAAUGGCGUAACGACUUCUCGACUGUCUCAACCAUAGGCCCGGUGAAAUUGCACUACGAGUAAAGAUGCUCGUUUCGCGCAGCAGGACGGAAAGACCCCGGGACCUUUACUACAGUUUGAUAUUGGUGUUCGGUUCGGCUUGUGUAGGAUAGCUGGGAGACUUUGAAGCUCGCACGCCAGUGUGGGUGGAGUCGUCGUUGAAAUACCAGUCUGGUCGUGCUGGAUGUCUAACCUGGGUCCGUGAUCCGGAUCAGGGACAGUGUCUGAUGGGUAGUUUAACUGGGGCGGUUGCCUCCUAAAGAGUAACGGAGGCGCCCAAAGGUUCCCUCAGCCUGGUUGGCAAUCAGGUGUUGAGUGUAAGUGCACAAGGGAGCUUGACUGUGAGACCGACGGGUCGAGCAGGGACGAAAGUCGGGACUAGUGAUCCGGCGGUGGCUUGUGGAAGCGCCGUCGCUCAACGGAUAAAAGGUACCCCGGGGAUAACAGGCUGAUCUUCCCCAAGAGUCCAUAUCGACGGGAUGGUUUGGCACCUCGAUGUCGGCUCGUCGCAUCCUGGGGCUGGAGUCGGUCCCAAGGGUUGGGCUGUUCGCCCAUUAAAGCGGUACGCGAGCUGGGUUUAGAACGUCGUGAGACAGUUCGGUCCCUAUCCGCUGUGCGCGUAGGAGUCUUGAGAAGGGCUGUCCCUAGUACGAGAGGACCGGGACGGACGAACCUCUGGUGUGCCAGUUGUUCUGCCAAGGGCAUGGCUGGUUGGCUACGUUCGGGAGGGAUAACCGCUGAAAGCAUCUAAGCGGGAAGCCUGCUUCGAGAUGAGGACUCCCACCCACUUGA
rnacentral:rRNA from 1 species